rnacentral:rRNA from 1 species
AGUAGAUAGCUUAACCUUCGGGAGGGCGUUUACCACGGUGUGGUUCAUGACUGGGGUGAAGUCGUAACAAGGUAGCCCUAGGGGAACCUGGGGCUGGAUCACCUCCUUA